UACAGAGGUGGCAAGCGUUGUUCGGAAUUACUGGGCGUAAAGGACGCGUAGGCGGUUUCGUAAGUCCCGUGUGAAAGCCCCCGGCUCAACUGGGGAAUUGCACGGGAAACUGCGAGGCUUGAGUUCGGGAGAGGGAAGCGGAAUUCCGGGUGUAGCGGUGAAAUGCGUAGAUAUCUGGAGGAACACCGGUGGCGAAGGCGGCAUCCUGGACCGACACUGACGCUGAUGAGCGAAAGCCAGGGGAGCAAACGGG
rnacentral:rRNA from 1 species